rnacentral:rRNA from 1 species
GUGGGGAAUCUUCCGCAAUGGACGAAAGUCUGACGGAGCAACGCCGCGUGAGUGAGGAAGGUUUUCGGAUCGUAAAGCUCUUUCGUUAGGGACGAACGUGCUCUUUGUGAAUAAUGAGGAGUAAUGACGGUACCUAAAUAAGAAGCCACGGCUAACUACGUGCCAGCAGCCGCGGUAAGACGUAGGUGGCAAGCGUUGUCCGGAAUUAUUGGGCGUAAAGCGCGCGCAGGCGGGAUAUCAAGUCUGUCUUAAAAGUGCGAGGCUCAACCUCGUGAGGGGACAGAAACUGGUAUUCUUGAGUGUCGGAGAGGAAAGUGGAAUUCCAAGUGUAGCGGUGAAAUGCGUAGAGAUUUGGAAGAACACCAGUGGCGAAGGCGACUUUCUGGACGAUGUCUGACGCUGAGGCGCGAAAGCUAGGGGAGCGAACGGGAUUAGAAACCCUAGUAGUCC